AUUGAACGCUGGCGGCAUGCCUAACACAUGCAAGUCGAACGGAAACGAUGGAAGCUUGCUUCCAGGCGUCGAGUGGCGGACGGGUGAGUAAUACUUAGGAAUCUGCCCAUUAGUGGGGGACAACUCGGGGAAACUCGAGCUAAUACCGCAUACGCCCUACGGGGAAAGCGGGGAGUCUUCGGACCUCGCGCUAAUGGAUGAGCCUAAGUCGGAUUAGCUUGUUGGUGAGGUAAAGGCUCACCAAGGCGACGAUCCGUAGCUGGUCUGAGAGGACGAUCAGCCACACUGGGACUGAGACACGGCCCAGACUCCUACGGGAGGCAG
rnacentral:rRNA from 1 species